AAGUCUUUCAGAAACAAGAUUCCGCUCCGAUGUCUCCGAACUACAUAAUAUCCAAUUCUUAUAAAUGGACGUAUUAUGAAAUGAUGUCAUCAAAAAGUUCUCACCUUGUAAUGCUGUCAAUUUUUCGCACGAAGGCUUGAAAAAGCGAACUAAUGUCAUCGGCGCGGAAUGAUAUUUUGGCACCGCGGAAUAAGAUUUCGCUACAGAACAGGUUCCACGGUUGCUGACGUAUCCCAUAAACACCCGCGACGUAGCCCCAUUUCGUAAACAAGAGACCAACAUGGCAGCCGCCACAGCCUCGUCUAGCAGCAGUGGAGGAGAGGAAAGUUUGGAAAUAAUGGCAAAAAGGAGAAAACUUCUUGCACGUAAGCAGUGCUAUAUGCAUAUAGCUUCUGUGAAGCACGGAGUGACCCAGGAAUUUACCUUCAAACGGUGGAAUACAUACCGGGACAGUAUCCGACAGUGGCUGCAGUUGAGCGGUGAGAACAGGAGAGUAGCCGAAAACUACAAACACUUUAGAUUUAGAGUUUGACAAGAUACCCGAGGAUGCUGCCUUCCACCCUGCAUGUUACCGCAGGUUUACGGACAAACUUGCUAUUGAACGAGCGGGAAAGCGUAUGGUGCGCGAGAAAGAAGGGGGAGAUGAAACUCAAGACGCCGCAAGACCCCCCAAAGCUGGCCCCUCAACAUCGGGCAGCACUAAGAGUCUUAGAUCCAGGUCAGCACUGCCUAUGUCCAGCUCAGGUCCCGUCCUUCCUGCCCUGUGCAUUAUAUGUAAAAAAAACCCCUCAAAUUCGUCUUAAAGGGAGGCAAACGACAAAGGGAAGCUCUUUCAAAAACUGAGACCUUAACAGCAGGCAAGUUGCAGACUGCUGCUGAGACUAAAGAUGACCACAGUAUUCUGGUACACAUUAAGGACAAAGACUGUGUGGCUCUGGAGGUGCAGUACCACAAGAGCUGCUACCAGCAGUACACCAGAUUUCUGAAUGAGCCUGCUAGACAAGAGAAGGACAAGUCAUUGCCUGGAUGCUGACCCCUGCCUUUUUGCACCGUGCCACAGGACUUAUAU